GAUGAAGAACGUAGCGAAAUGCGAUAAGUAAUGUGAAUUGCAGAAUUCAGUGAAUCAUCGAAUCUUUGAACGCACCUUGCACCCUUUGGCAUUCUGAAGGGUAUGCUCGUUUGAGUGUCAUUGUACUCUCACACUCCCGAUCUUUGCAUUGGGAGCAGUGGACUUGGGUUUGCUGCUUCACCGUCGCUUACCUCAAAUAGGUUAGUGCAACUCUUGGUUGGACAUAGUACGGCGUGAUAAGUGUUCUUCGCCGGUGCCUCGCAAAGAGGGUGGCCGAUCGGGAUGUUGUGCUCCAAACCGUCUUCGGACAAUCUCUGACGGCUUGACCUCAAAUCGAGUAAGACUACCCGCUGAACUUAAGCAUAUCAAUAAGCGGAGGA
rnacentral:misc_RNA from 1 species